rnacentral:rRNA from 1 species
GAGUUUGAUCCUGGCUCAGGAUGAACGCUGGCGGCGUGCCUAAUACAUGCAAGUCGAACGAAACUUCUUUAUCACAGAGUGCUUGCACUCACCGAUAAAGAGUUGAGUGGCGAACGGGUGAGUAACACGUGGGCAACCUGCCCAAAAGAGGGGGAUAACACUUGGAAACAGGUGCUAAUACCGCAUAACCAUAGUUACCGCAUGGUAACUAUGUAAAAGGUGGCUAUGCUACCGCUUUUGGAUGGGCCCGCGGCGCAUUAGCUAGUUGGUGGGGUAAAGGCUUACCAAGGCAAUGAUGCGUAGCCGAACUGAGAGGUUGAUCGGCCACAUUGGGACUGAGACACGGCCCAAACUCCUACGGGAGGCAGCAGUAGGGAAUCUUCCACAAUGGGCGAAAGCCUGAUGGAGCAACGCCGCGUGGGUGAAGAAGGUCUUCGGAUCGUAAAACCCUGUUGUUAGAGAAGAAAGUGCGUGAGAGUAACUGUUCACGUUUCGACGGUAUCUAACCAGAAAGCCACGGCUAACUACGUGCCAGCAGCCGCGGUAAUACGUAGGUGGCAAGCGUUAUCCGGAUUUAUUGGGCGUAAAGGGAACGCAGGCGGUCUUUUAAGUCUGAUGUGAAAGCCUUCGGCUUAACCGGAGUAGUGCAUUGGAAACUGGGAGACUUGAGUGCAGAAGAGGAGAGUGGAACUCCAUGUGUAGCGGUGAAAUGCGUAGAUAUAUGGAAGAACACCAGUGGCGAAAGCGGCUCUCUGGUCUGUAACUGACGCUGAGGUUCGAAAGCGUGGGGAGCAAACAGG